rnacentral:lncRNA from 1 species
GUGAAGACAAUUUCCAUAAAAUAAAAAUGAAUAUGGAUACUAUUUACGUUGCAUUAAAAAAACUGAUCAAAGAAUUGGUUUAAUGGCAAAGGCUCUGGAAAAUUAUUUUGCAACAGUUCAUCACCGUUGAUAUAAUCCUAAUUAAAAUUAUCGGACUCCAGUUUUGGUGGAGAUGUAAAUUUGCUAGUGUCUUUGAAGAGCAAUUUUGUCAUAUUCAUGAAAAUUAAAAUUGCAUUUGGCCUUUGACAUAGAAAUUUUACUUCUGGAAAUUUACAGAGAAAGUUGCACGUGUGCACGUACACACAAGGAUAUUACCACACUACUCUAGUAUUGUUUGUAAUAACAAAAGAUUGAAAAAAUAUUAAUGUCCUCCGGUAAGAAACUGAUUAAAAUUCAGUAUGAGACAUCCAUUGUAACCAAAGCUAGGCGGCCUUGAAAAAGUCAGUGUCGCUCAGUGACAGGGCUCAGCCCACCCUCAUGCAAACCCACCCCGCGGUGUGAGGCCAGGAGGGUGCGGUCACGAGGGGCCCAGGAAGUGUGUCCAAUGCUUGAAGCAGCCCCCACGCUGGUCUGGGUCGCGCCCUGGUGUAUCUCUUUUGACGUCUACUACCCACAGCCUGGGGGAGGAAAGUGGCGGCGAGGAGCAACUGUACGCGACUCGGGACCUUGCCCUUCUCCGCGGCCAGCGUCACAAUGGCAACCGCGGGCAGCCGGUCACUGACAGCUGGAAAACGAGGACCCGAGCCAGGUUACAGGCUUAGACUUCGAGCAGCCCAGGCAGAGUCUCUGCGUCCUCCAGCCCCCGCUUCCCUUCCUGUCGGAGAUCCUAAGCCCGCAGCGAAGUCUGCAAGUAGCUUUCCCCGACGCCCACGAGACCGGAAGUGCCUGGGCCCAGGUAGAGGAAGGACCCGCGUGGCCUCCUCUGCGCCCUCCCUGGCGUCCGCGCCCGUUCCGGCGCUUCUCCCGCGUCCUUCACCAUGGCAACUUCUGGCGUUCGGAGCGUGGGCCGCGAGCCAGGAGCACCCUUCAAGGAGAAUUAGACAAAUUGGAGUCUACUCAGAAGAGGCUGUUGGGAAUGGCCCUGACACCACAUCCUGACAGGGAUGGCCGAUGGAAUGGGGAGAAGACUCAGGAAGUGCGAACCAUUUUGCCUGGCACAGUACUUGACCCGGGGGGCACAAUGAAGAUCAGGUUCAAGAUCAAGGUGGUCCCUGCCCUGUGGUGCUUUUAUGGAGGAGAGUCAGGUAAGCAGGCAGUUAUCAUGCCUUCUGUGGUUAUAAGAGAAGCUCAGAAUGCUUUGGGAGAACUGCAGUGGGUCCUGCCUCAGGCUGGGAAAAGUCAGGGAGGGCUUCCUGAAGAAGCUUUCAGGCCUUGGAGUGAGCAGAGAAUGGGAU